GAUGAUAUAGCUCAGUGGCAGAGCAGUUGCCUAGCAGGCAAAAGGCCCUGGAUUUAAUUCCCAGCAUCACA
rnacentral:tRNA from 1 species